UUGCAUGGCCUGGGGUUAUGCAGCAAAUCAAACCAGAUUAUCACAGCAGUCCCUUCUGCCUUAAAACACAUGAAGUGAUUUAAGGUCCAUUCCCAGCCUGAGCCAAGGCUGGGAAUGGACCUUUCAAGUGACUGACAAGAUUUUUUCCCUCGUUUUUCAAACUCACUUCUGGGAGAGAGACAUUUUUAGAAGUGGAGCAAAUGUAAAAGCUACAGGUCUGAGAGAGAGUGGAAGGACUGUUACUAAAGAAACAAAAUCUGUGUGUGUGUCGAGGGAGCACUUGGCAGGGGCAGGUCUUUGUUCUUUCAGGUUUUCUUCAAAUCACUAAAACUCAAAAGAAUUCCCCUUGUAAAUGUACAUGUGUCUAUUCUUGUAUGGUGUGAAUGUUUCCACGGCAAACAGAUUUUCACAACAUCCUAGGGAAAGGCAGCAUCUCUAUCACUAGGGACUCAUACCUCUAGCUGCCUUUGUUUGAAAAGGUUACAGAUAAUAACAGAUUAAUAAAGGAAGCAGUACUGUUUGUAUUUUAAAGGCAAAUUCCAUAUGCAUUUUAACCUCAAUUGCAAGUGUUGCAUAUAAUACAAACGUAAUCUUUGUGUAAUAAACAAUUUGUUUUUUAAAAUAGUCCAGCUGGAUUCAGUGUAGCUAAUCAAUUGAAAACCCUGGAUUGAGUUUCAAUUGAAAAAUACUGUAGGCCUGGGAAUAAGAACAGGUAUAGACUAUGCAACAAAUAUUGCCCUUGAAUCCCAGAUUUACAUAAUUUACAUGUAGUCAAGUUACAGGCAACUCUGAGCUCACUUAACACUUCAUUUUGGAUACUUUCCUUCUAUUCAUCCUAAUAUUAAAUGCAGCCAUUGCUUGAAUUUUAACUAAACUGGAGAAGUUUAUGAUACAGGAUCACAUCACAUACGAGUUAUAAUUGUAAUGACCAAACAGUAUUCUCAUUCUAGACAGUUAAGUCAAGUGUCCCAGAAAUUGCUAGGAAAAAUGUAUUCACAUUCAAAUCUUAAUUCAGAGUCUAAAGAAACUCCGUGUUUCUAGAGUUGUGAGAAUAGUGGAUUAUUCAGUUCAGUGGUUGAUACACUGAGAGACUGAACUGAAAAAUUAAAAGAAUUUUGUUCAAGUUGACCUGAAAUGAGAGCCUGUGGGUUUUUUUCCCCACCAAGGCAAAAAAAAUCCACUCAAGAUGAACUUGAACUAAAACAAAAUGGUUUAUUUCUAGGUGUUCAAUUCUUUUUUAAUUUUUUAAAUUCAGGUCAAUUAAAACAUUUCAACAUUUGAAAAAAAUGGGAAAUAUGUUUUCAACUAAAACCACCUUUACUUUUGACUGGAAAAACUCAUCCAGUUUUACUCAUUUCUCCUUUAUCUAUCAGAUUAUUAUUUAACUCAAAUCCGUCAGUGUUCUCUAUGAACUUCAUGGUCCAUUUUUCCCUUGGGAGACUUCAGUUGUACAUGUUUAAUUACAGCAUCAGCACUGAAAUACAAAUUACUUUUUUUUUAAAUACCAGAAUCUGAUUGGACGUUGCAUAUCUAGCUGGACUUAAAAUCUCCAAUUUGUGGUGAAUUAUUCCUUGCUUAAAAUUCUUCCUGGCUUAAAACUGAAUUUGACUGAUGCACCAGAUAAUUCUGCUCCUCUGUUCCAGUUCACCUGAAUCAAAUACUAUUUCAAAUUACUUCCUACGUGGCAGCUGGAUUCUUGCUUUGUUAUAAUACAUUAAAAAUGAAAGCAACCUACACUUCCUUGAGAGCAUUCUUGAUUAAAUAAAGAAUCCUCUAAAGCACACAAUCCUUGUGUACAUGUAUGUGAAUGUAUUCUUACAACUGCAAAGAGACUUUGGGUUGUAACAAUAUUCAAGUACAGUUAGCAGUACAGUGUCUUGGACAUAACAAUGAUUUUUCCUGUUGCAUGGCAUUGUGCUACUACUGUCUGUAUACCAUUGGAAAUGUCUGCCAUGUAGAUUGGCAAAGGCCCUAGUGGACUUCAUGGAGUCUCUGAUUUUUCAGGUUACAGAAAGCUCUCCUCCUGGUAGGGUAAUGCUACAUUUUCUUAACAACAACAUUCUGAAAAUUUUAAAGUAGUGGCUGCUAUUACACUUGCCAACAAUGACCUUGUCAUGGUAAAAUGAGGUAGUAGGGUAAUUUCUAUCCUCAGUAGAGGGAACAAAUGGUUAGUAAGAUACUCUGUUGUGUUGUGGGAUCAGUGCAAUUUCAAUGUUGUAAUUUCAGGAAUAACUAACGAAUUUCAUUCACCUAGGAUAAAGCAUCCUGGCAUUUGCUGCUAGCCUACCUUGUUG